AGUAAUGCGUGACCAACCUGCCCCAUGCUCCAGAAUAGCUCUUGGAAACGGGUGGUAAUGCUGGAUGCUCCAACUUGACGCAUGUCUUGUUGGGAAAGUGUUUAGUGGCAUGGGAUGGGGUCGCGUCCUAUCAGCUUGUAGGCGGGGUAAUGGCCCACCUAGGCUUCGACGGGUAGCCGGCCUGAGAGGGCGGACGGCCACAUUGGGACUGAGAUACGGCCCAGACUCCUACGAGAGGCAGCAGCA
rnacentral:rRNA from 1 species